AGAAUAGUGAGAAACGAUUGUAUGUGG
rnacentral:piRNA from 1 species